rnacentral:ncRNA from 1 species
CUUAUCAAGAGCGGCGGAGGGACAGGCCCUUUGAUGCCCGGCAACCUGAUUACUCAAGGUGCCAAAUCCUGCGGUUUAUCCGAAAGAUGAGG